AUGAGAUUCAAGGGGCGGAUUAGUGGGAGUUCGGCCGGGCUGGGCCUAACAAAGCCCGAAACAGAUAACCUAGGCCUGGGCACGGCCUGGCCGUCAGGCCUAGUUUUCAGGCUCGAGCUCGGCCGAUCAGUCAAAAAGCCCAUCGGGCCUAGUUUCCAAGACCAAGCCCAACCCGUCAGUCAAAAAACCCAUCAGGCCUUGAACCGGGCCUCUUCCUUAAAUUACAAAUAUGACGAGCCCAAUCCUGCCGUUGCCCGACCUAUGGCUGAAAAACUAGGCCCAGGCCCGGCCCGUGGGCAAGGUCGGGCCGGGCUGUAG
rnacentral:rRNA from 1 species